CCUACGGGAGGCAGCAGUGGGGGAUAUUGCACAAUGGGGGGAACCCUGAUGCAGCGACGCCGCGUGGGUGAAGGAGUGCUUCGGCAUGUAAAGCCCUAUCGGCAGGGAAGAAGCAAGACGGUACCUGACUAAGAAGCCCCGGCUAACUACGUGCCAGCAGCCGCGGUAAUACGUAGGGGGCGAGCGUUAUCCGGAUUCACUGGGUGUAAAGGGAGCGUAGACGGCCAUGCAAGCCAGGGGUGAAAGCCCGGGGCCCAACCCCGGGACUGCCCUUGGAACUGCAUGGCUGGAGUGCGGGAGGGGCAGGCGGAAUUCCUGGUGUAGCGGUGAAAUGCGUAGAUAUCAGGAGGAACACCGGCGGCGAAGGCGGCCUGCUGGACCGCGACUGACGUUGAGGCUCGAAAGCGUGGGGAGCGAACAGGAUUAGAUACCCCAGUAGUC
rnacentral:rRNA from 1 species